rnacentral:rRNA from 1 species
UGCCAGACUCCUACGGGAGGCAGCAGUGGGGAAUAUUGCACAAUGGGGGAAACCCUGAUGCAGCGACGCCGCGUGAGCGAUGAAGUAUUUCGGUAUGUAAAGCUCUAUCAGCAGGGAAGAAGAUGACGGUACCUGACUAAGAAGCCCCGGCUAACUACGUGCCAGCAGCCGCGGUAAUACGUAGGGGGCAAGCGUUAUCCGGAUUUACUGGGUGUAAAGGGAGCGUAGACGGCGAUGCAAGCCAGAUGUGAAAGCCCGGGGCUCAACCCCGGGACUGCAUUUGGAACUGUGUGGCUGGAGUGUCGGAGAGGCAGGCGGAAUUCCUAGUGUAGCGGUGAAAUGCGUAGAUAUUAGGAGGAACACCAGUGGCGAAGGCGGCCUGCUGGACGAUGACUGACGUUGAGGCUCGAAAGCGUGGGGAGCAAACAGGAUUAGAUACCCGAGUAGC